UACGUAGGUGGCAAGCGUUAUCCGGAUUUAUUGGGCGUAAAGGGAACGCAGGCGGUCUUUUAAGUCUGAUGUGAAAGCCUUCGGCUUAACCGGAGUAGUGCAUUGGAAACUGGGAGACUUGAGUGCAGAAGAGGAGAGUGGAACUCCAUGUGUAGCGGUGAAAUGCGUAGAUAUAUGGAAGAACACCAGUGGCGAAAGCGGCUCUCUGACCUGUAACUGACACUGAGGCUCGAAAGCGUGGGGAGCAAACAGG
rnacentral:rRNA from 1 species